UAAUAACAGGCAUAUAAGUUAACAGAUUGGCAUAUACAUGGGGAGUAUAGAUAAAAUCCAUAAAAAUUUAGCAGCAGUACCACCAUUAGUUUACUGGAAAUAGUAGUUGAACAAAGAAACUGCUACCAAGGCCACCAGCCGGCCGCUGUGGCCGAGUAGUUCUAGGCGCUUCAGUCUGGAACCGCGCGCCGCUAUAGUCACAGGUUCGAAUCCUGCCUUGUGCAUGGAUGUGUGUGAUGUCCUUAGGUUAGUUAGGUUUAAGUAGUUCUAAGUCUAGGGGACUGAUGACCUUGGAUGUUAAGUCCCAUAGUGCUCAGAGCCAUUUGAACCAUUUGAACCAUUUUGAACCAAGGGCACCAAUUCAUGCGACUGGCUCCUUCAUGCUAAUUUCUCAAUGUAAUUAAGAAAGAUGAACAAUUCCUGAUCAAAAAGUGACGCCACUGGUGUGCAGAAACAUUUUAAAUGAAAAAAUCAUAAGUAUAGAUGAUAACUCUGUUAAAAAUUUUAGUCCAAAAGCGGAUAAGACCAUUCUCCAACAAGAAAAAGAAGCGACAUAAGAAAAUCUUCUACGUCACAUUGAUUGAAACUAAAAAGUUAUGAUUUUAUAUUCAGGUGAAUGAUAAGUAGUUACACUGUAACAGUCAUAGCUAGAGUUCAGAUUUUGCAUGUUUUGCAUAUCAUUUUUUUUACUGUACCUGGUGUUGUGUCUAUAGAAAUUAUGAUAUUGUGGAUGUACUGGGCUACUUUAAAUUCAAUUUUAAAAUGCAUAUAUUUACAUAUUUUGGCGUUUGAGCAUAUUAUUAUCAUAUUUAGAGAAAAUGGCCUUAAAGAUGCAUAUUUUUCACAUUUAGAAGUCAUAUUGAGAUUGAUUUAUUCCCUGACAACCCAAGAACCUCCCAGAAUUUUAGAACAAUAAAUUUCCAAAAUGAGAUACUACGGGAUGAGCCAUCAGAAUGAAAGCCUUUGAGGUAAACGUGGGUAGCUUACGGAAGGACAUAGUCCUGUUUUUCCACUUACUUAGUCUCUCGGAUAAGGAUGCUAACGACUUUUGAUGGUUCAUUGUUGCAAGAUGGAUUGUUAGAGGAAACAUGCUUCGGUAUUUGUUGCCCACAGUUAAUGUGUGAUCAGGUCGCUGCAGUGCGCCAACAUUGCCCUACUAGUUAUUGUUGGCAUUUCGGAAUAUGAAACAUUCUUGCAUGUGUUUCUGUGCUGUUUGCAUCAACUCUUUGCUACCAUCUUCAAAUUACGAAUAUGCCCAGACCAAAAAGCAAUAAUUUUGGGAAAUGGAUUGGAAGCGAUUGUGCUUUCACAAUGGACAGAAAAAUAAUAUUGUGCCAACUAUGUGAAAAAGAGGUGAGUUUAAUUUUGUUUUUCUCUUUUUCGAUAAUUUUUCCAAGAACUUGAAACAAUUAUUAAGUACGUUUGUAAAUUGAUGUGCAUAUUUCCUAUGUGCGAAUGGGAAGGAAAAGAAGAAACCUUUAGCAAUUACCUUUGGCGAUCUUGGAAAUGAAAAAAAGUGUUAAAUUUUGUGUGGGGAUCGAAGUUACAAUUUUUAUAAACUUAUUUGUAGUCUUCAUUCACUUUUUUGAGUGACCAUCUCGUGGGUACACACUGUUAUCUUAAAUUUUUGUACAAUUGUACGUACUUAUUGAUAUUCACUUCUCCGACACUUUAGGUGCGGGUUGAGAAAAAAUUUCAACAGCAUCUGCAUUAAAAGACAUCUCAGCACCAGAACAAUUUAACCAAGACAUGGUUAAAAACUUCACAGCAAUCACUGAUCUCAUCAUUUCGAAGAAUGUGGACGACAAAAAUGAGUUCAGUGAAGAUCCUUGCAAGGCUUUAAUAAAAGUAAACAUCUCCUUGAAUAAGUUGGAGAAUGAAGCAUUAAAGAUCUUCUUGAAAAAAUACACAGGAAAACAUAUUCAUCAUGAGUCAACGCUCAGAAAGGACUAUGUGGACCCAUUAUAUGAAAAGACAUUGGAGAAUGUUAUGACAGAAAUUGUCGAUUCUCCAGUCUGGCUGUCCGUUGGCGAAACUGGUCGGUAUAUGGUGCAGGUCAUAGUUGGAAAACUCUCUGCUGACAAGGCUGGAGGAGGACAUAUCAUAGUGUAGAUAGAAGUGGAACGAACCACACACGCCACGAUUGCACGCACAGUGCAGGAAGCAGUGUGCGUGUUAUGGAGAAGUGAGGACCAGAAACGUGGGGAGAACAAGGUUUUGGCCAUUGUGACGGAUAGUGCCGCAUAUAUGCUGAAGGCUGCAGAGUGCCUCGGGGUGUUUUACCCUAUUUCACCUCACGUGUCUGGCUCAUGGCAUCCAUCGAGUGGCUGAAGAGGUCAGAGCCGCAUUGCCAGAGAUUAACAGCGUUAUAUCUUCGGCAGAGAAGGUUUUCAUAAAGGCACCGAGUGAGAGCCUUCAAGACUGCUCACCGUGACUGUCCUCUGCCACCUGAACCAGCCUUGACGGGGUGGGGAACGUGGAUUUCAGCUGCAAAUUAUUAUGCAGACAACCUCAGAAAAGUUGAAGAGGUCCUAAAGGGCUUUGAAGAUAGCAAAAACUUAGCCAUUACAAAAUCCAAGUACGCCCUGAAGAGUUCUAGCGUGUUACACAGCCUAUCUUUCAUCCCAGCGCACUUUGGUGGCCUUCCAGACCUAACUGAGAAACAUGAGACUCGUAACGUGGAAGCUAUGAAGGCAGUGGCUCUCGUCGAAGGACUCAGGACACAGAGCAAGAGUUGGCCAGGUCCGAUCAGUGAGAGACUUAGAAGAAAAUUAGAUGCAGUUCUUCAUAGAAAUCCUGGUUGUCCUACGAUUCGGAAGAUCGCUCAGUUACUGGAAGGAAACAAACGCUCUGAGAAUUUAGAUGAUUUUACAUCGUCUGACGCCGCUGCUCUUAAAUUCUUAUGUGUAGUGUCAUGUGAUGUUGAACAAUAAUUUUCAAGACUGAAAAUGUUAUUAUCUGAACACAGGAAAAAUUUUCAUUUAGAGAAUAUG